rnacentral:rRNA from 1 species
CAGCCGCCGCGGUAAUACAGAGGAUGCAAGCGUUAUCCGGAAUGGUUGGGCGUAAAGCGUCUGUAGGUGGCUUUUCAAGUCCGCCGUCAAAUCCCAGGGCUCAACCCUGGACAGGCGGUGGAAACUACCAAGCUGGAGUACGGUAGGGGCAGAGGGAAUUCCACGUGUAGCGGUGAAAUGCGUAGAGAUGUAGAGGAACACCGAUGGCGAAGGCAGCCCCCUGGGCCAAUACUGACGCUCAUGCACGAAAGCGUGGGGAGCAAACAGGAUUAGAUACCCCAGUAGUCCCUGUCUCUUAUAC